UUGUUAACUGUUGGAUUAUUGUGAAAUUUUGAUAUGUUGUUCGAAAUUCAAUUCCGCACGCUUCCACCGUUGGGAUUUGCGAGAUAAUAUUUGUAGAGGGAGAAAAAGGAAUCAUAUGAAGACAGUACAAGUGGAGGUUUCAAUCUCUUCUCCGUCUCUCUGACGUUUGGGAAUUCUAUCGGAGCAGUCGGAUGAAUAAUUGAAAGAAUUUCCGGGAACCGCUAGAGAUGUUGCUAUCGCUGGCUGAAGACACGUGAGCCCGCUUAGAGGUAAGGAAUGAGUUAUUCACAGUUGGG
rnacentral:lncRNA from 1 species